rnacentral:rRNA from 1 species
UACGUAGGUGGCAAGCGUUGUCCGGAUUUACUGGGCGUAAAGAGCGCGCAGGCGGCUGGCCAAGUCCGAUGUGAAAGCUCCCGGCUCAACUGGGAAAUUGCAUCGGAAACUGGUCGGCUUGAAGGUGGGAGAGGGUAGCGGAAUUCCCGGUGUAGUGGUGAAAUGCGUAGAUAUCGGGAGGAACACCAGUGGCGAAGGCGGCUACCUGGCCCAUUCUUGACGCUGAGGCACGAAAGCGUGGGGAGCAAACAGG